CAGAGGACAAGAGCUACCAGACCUUUCUGUGGGAACAUUGCUUGAACAAGACCACUUCAUCUGGACUGCUAUCACCACAGUGUGAGGUCCUUUAAUUCAUGGCCAGCUUUAGAAACAUUCUCUUCUUCCAUUUCUUAUUUGAAGGAGGCAUCCUAGACAGAAAUAAGGUUUUGGGUUUGAUUCAUGGUAGAAUUCCAGCAUUCAAAAC